CCUACGGGUGGCAGCAGUGAGGAAUAUUGGUCAAUGGACGGAAGUCUGAACCAGCCAUGCCGCGUGCAGGAAGACGGCUCUAUGAGUUGUAAACUGCUUUUGUACAAGGGUAAACCUGAAUACGUGUAUUCAGCUGAAAGUACUGUACGAAUACGGAUAGGCUAACUCCGUGCCAGCAGCCGCGGUAAUACGGAGGAUGCGAGAGUUAUCCGGAUUUAUUGGGUUUAAAGGGUGCGUAGGCGGAUCGUUAAGUCAGUGGUCAAAUUGAGGGGCUCAACCCCUUCCCGCCAUUGAAACUGGCGCUCUUGAGUGGAAGAGAAGUAUGCGGAAUGCGUGGUGUAGCGGUGAAAUGCAUAGAUAUCACGCAGAACUCCGAUUGCGAAGGCAGCUUACUAAACUGCCACUGACAUUGAUGCUCGAAAGUGUGGGUAUCAAACAGGAUUAGAUACCCCGGUAGUC
rnacentral:rRNA from 1 species